UUAGAAAUAAAUGUAUUGUUUCUUUUAUUAAUUUGCUUUUUUUAACAGGAUAGAGAUAGGAAAGACCACUUGGAACAAAGCUAUUAAUGCAGACAAGUCCGACUAUGGAAACAUAGUAGAUCUCACAUACUUUGAUACAGAUUCUCCUAUACUCUCACCACAUUAUGUGCCAUCAUCAGCCACGAAAUUCUGACCGAGUCAAAGAUCACCACUUUUGUCCCAUCGUCAUUGACCACUUAGUCCAAGAGAAAAAGAUCUGACAGAAACCAGUACUCAAAAACAUGACAUCACCCCAACCCCAAUUCUCUGUGUGUAAGGAUUAAAGAGAUUGAUUGUGCAAUACAGUUUUUACUGAGCGUGAUGCGGGACAAGCAGAAGAAAUAUAACAAACACGCUGACCAGUUUCAGCGGAUCUCGGAGACGCUCUCCAUUCUUAAUCGGGUCAAGGACAGCAUGCAGAACCUGGUCCCCAAGAUGGAACGCUUGAACCAGAU